rnacentral:rRNA from 1 species
UACGGGGGGGGCAAGCGUUGUUCGGAAUUACUGGGCGUAAAGGGCUCGUAGGUGGCCAACUAAGUCACACGUGAAAUCCCUCAGCUUAACUGGGGAACUGCGUCUGAUACUGGCGGACUUGAGGACAGGAGAGGAACGCGGAAUUCCAGGUGUAGCGGUGAAAUGCGUAGAUAUCUGGAGGAACACCGGUGGCGAAGGCGGCGUUCUGGACUGUUUCUGACACUGAAAAACGAAAGCCAGGGGAGCAAACGGG